rnacentral:lncRNA from 10 species
GCUGCAAGACACCCUGCUUCUGGCUCUGAGCUUUGCUUGUCUUCAGGGAUGGAGCCCCUCCCAAGGCAAGUUCAACUGGGUUCUUUGGCAGCCGAAGUCUACACGGACCCUGCAGGGAGCGGUGGAGAAAAGUUAGAUGUCUGAAGUGUUUUUCAUUGGACCAAAAUCAAGGUGUUGGCUGGGCUACCUUCCCUUCUGGAGACUCUAAGGAAGAAUCCAUUUCCUUGUCUUUUCCAGAUCCUAGAGGCUACCUGCAUUCCUUGGCUUUUAUCCCCAAUCUUCCAUCUUCGGAGCCAGCAACAAUAUAUUGAUCAUGAGGAGAGGGCUCACCCCUCACCCGGAGAAGUAGUUGGGGAAGCAAUAUGCGGAAACAAAGCCAUGAAUCUGACAAGAAAUGUACUUAAGAUUGUAUAUAUGGAGAUGAAUACCCAUUGUCCUUUGCACUUUCUGGAUGAUAAAUUAGAAAAGAAAAAUCCAAAGAAUGAAGUUGUGCUAUUUGUCCUCACUUCUGAUUUGGGAAACUAGAGGAAAUUAAGAUGGGAAAAGACCAUGUGAGGACACAGUGAGAAGGAGACCAUAUGCAAAGCAGGAAGGAAGAUCUCACUGGAACCAAAAACCAGCCCUGCUG